UUUGCCAAUGAUGAUAUACACCACAUAUACAAUAUUUCUGGUACCUCUUAUGUCAGGGGUGAGGCCAUGGCUUCACUCCGAUGAUCUAUCUGGACUUCUGAUA
rfam:Paracoccidioides sp. &apos;lutzii&apos; Pb01 unplaced genomic scaffold supercont2.15, whole genome shotgun sequence.